GUCUCUGCACCUCCUGCCCACUGAGCGAGGGGCCCAAGCUGCCCUGGUCCCUGAGCUGGCUCUGCUUGGGCAGCACGAGGGCAUCCAUCAGCUUGUGCUGGUUUUAAACAGCUGAUAUGGAUGCAGACUCACUCCUGGUUUCAGGCAGAAGGAAAUCCUUUCUGAUAAGCUGCUGCUUUUUCAAACAGACGAUAAAGCUCUGCAGGUAGAACUCCCUGUGCUAGCAGUUUGACCCCUAAUGAAGUAUUUACCAGGAUGGCACCUUGCUCUGCCUCAGGAAAUACUGUCCUUUCACCUGUGUGCAGCUCUCAGGUCUUUUGCAAAGCCCACGGUUUAAGGAGAGCAUCAAAGCAGCCAGCAAUCCUCUCCUUCCCCUUCUCAAUCUCUCUCCAUUCCCACUGCGGAUGCGGUUUGCCAGAGACCCUGGGGCUCUGCACCUUGGAGAGCAAAGGGCUUGUAGGAGAGCUGCACAUCAUUGUGUUUGGGAUGCUGUGUCCUCCCUGCUGCAAUCAGAGCAGCGACAUGGAACCAGGAGGGUGCGGGACCGGACAUCUUCCUCUGCCACGCUGCCCCGACCUUUGUGGUGAGGUUGUGCAUGGAGAAAUGUGCUGAACCACCCCGUUGCCAUGGAAACCAAGGCCGAGAGGGGACCAGCCUGCUCCUGCUAAUUGCUGUGGCUUUGUGACCCCAUCCGUCCAUCCUGCUGCCUCCCGUGAGCCUGUCCGAAUGCACAGCGCUGGCCCCAUCCUGCAUCAUCCUGCCCUUUGGCUCCCAGCCCCAAUGCUGUGAGCAGGAUCUGGGGUUCCUCUUUCUCUCCUUUGUGUUGUCACAACCUGCACAAGAUCAGUUAAAAUCCGUGGCUUGAGCAUCCCUGCAGCCCAUCACCCCGUGCGUGCACAUCUGCCUGCAUGCUUGUUGCAGGAGCACGGUGGCGGUGCAGUGAUGCACCUCCCUUGCCCUGCAUCCCGGGCUGCCCUGCCUUUAUCUCGUCCAAUUAAAUAACUGCAGAUAGUGGGCUUAAUAAGGCCCUGCUAUGAAAGAUUACUGACGAUUUCUUUCCCAACGUGCGGUGAAUUAGGAGGCAGUGAGCAGGGAAAGGACUGCUGCUAAUUACAGUCCCCCAUGUCCCCUCUGCUGCCACCACUGCUGCUGGGCCCCUCGCUGCUCCCUGCACCUGAUUGCAUUUUGCUGCUGGUUGUGGCCAAUUUGCAGCUCUCAGCUGCUGCUGCUUCUCCCUUCCCCCCACGCCCCCUGCUCCUCUUCGAGUUUAUUAAUGAAAACCUUAUCUGUCGGUGCAGAUAAUGCCAGAAAUAAUUAGUGCACACGGAGGGCUGGCAGGCUGCUCUCUGCUCCCACCACCCACACCCUCUCCUCUCACUGUUUACAGUUUCCUGUGCUGCUU
rnacentral:lncRNA from 1 species